ensembl:misc_RNA 7SK 7SK RNA
GCAUGUGAGGGCGGUCCUGCUGCGACAUCUGUCAGCCCAUUGAUUGUCAGGGUUGAUUUGGUUGAUCUGGCUGGCUAGGUGGGUGCCCUCUCUUUCCCUUGCCACUCCGUGCAUCCCUCCUGAAGCUGCGUGCUCUAAAAGGACCAUGUCGCUCGAUAGAGGGGGACUAUUCUUUGGUCACGGGUAUAUGAGUAGCCGUGCUCCCCUGCUGAAACCAAACAAGCUCUCAAGGUCCGCUUGCAGGAGAACGCAGGUUAGUCUGGCUUCCAAGACUCGGGCACACCCAAGUGAAGCGCUGCGUGGCGGUCUGCCCUUCUGU